rnacentral:rRNA from 1 species
GAUCAUGGCUCAGGAUGAACGCUAGCGACAGGCCUAACACAUGCAAGUCGAGGAGCAGCGAAGAGGUAGCAAUACCUCUGUCGGCGACCGGCGCACGGGUGAGUAACACGUAUGCAAUCCACCUGUAACAGGGGGAUAACCCGGAGAAAUCCGGACUAAUACCCCAUAAUAUGGGCGCUCCGCAUGGAGAGUCCAUUAAAGAGAGCAAUUUUGGUUACAGACGAGCAUGCG